AGAGUUUGAUCCUGGCUCAGAUUGAACGCUGGCGGUAUGCUUAACACAUGCAAGUCGAACGGAAACGAUACUAGCUUGCUAGUAGGCGUCGAGUGGCGGACGGGUGAGUAACGCGUAGGAAUCUACCUGAUAGUGGGGGAUAGCCCGAAGAAAUUCGGAUUAAUACCGCAUAAUCUAUUCGUAGUAAAGUGGGGGACUUUCGAGCCUCACGCUAUCAGAUGAGCCUGCGUAAGAUUAGCUAGUUGGUAGGGUAAAAGCCUACCAAGGCGACGAUCUUUAGCUGGUCUGAGAGGAUGAUCAGCCACAUCGGGACUGAGACACGGCCCGAACUCCUACGGGAGGCAGCAGUGGGGAAUAUUGGACAAUGGGGGCAACCCUGAUCCAGCAAUACCGCGUGUGUGAAGAAGGCCUGAGGGUUGUAAAGCACUUUCAAUUGUGAAGAAAAGCUAGUGGUUAAUAGCCAUUAGCCUUGACGUUAACUUUAGAAGAAGCACCGGCUAACUCCGUGCCAGCAGCCGCGGUAAUACGGAGGGUGCAAGCGUUAAUCGGAAUUACUGGGCGUAAAGCGUGCGUAGGCGGUUUAUUAAGUCAGAUGUGAAAGCCCCGGGCUUAACCUGGGAACUGCAUUUGAAACUGGUCAACUAGAGUAUGGUAGAGGAAAGUGGAAUUUCUGGUGUAGCGGUGAAAUGCGUAGAUAUCAGAAGGAACAUCAAUGGCGAAGGCAACUUUCUGGACCAAUACUGACGCUGAGGUACGAAAGCGUGGGUAGCAAACAGGAUUAGAUACCCUGGUAGUCCACGCCGUAAACGAUGAUAACUAGCCGUUGGGGGGAUUUACCCCUUAGUGGCGAAGCUAACGCGUUAAGUUAUCCGCCUGGGGAGUACGGCCGCAAGGUUAAAACUCAAAGGAAUUGACGGGGACCCGCACAAGCGGUGGAGCAUGUGGUUUAAUUCGAUGCAACGCGAAGAACCUUACCUGGUCUUGACAUCCUGAGAACUUUCUAGAAAUAGAUUGGUGCCUUCGGGAACUCAGUGACAGGUGCUGCAUGGCUGUCGUCAGCUCGUGUCGUGAGAUGUUGGGU
rnacentral:rRNA from 1 species